AGAGUUUGAUCAUGGCUCAGAUUGAACGCUGGCGGCAGGCCUAACACAUGCAAGUCGAGCGGUAGCACAGAGAGCUUGCUCUCGGGUGACGAGCGGCGGACGGGUGAGUAAUGUCUGGGAAACUGCCUGAUGGAGGGGGAUAACUACUGGAAACGGUAGCUAAUACCGCAUAACGUCGCAAGACCAAAGUGGGGGACCUUCGGGCCUCAUGCCAUCAGAUGUGCCCAGAUGGGAUUAGCUAGUAGGUGGGGUAAUGGCUCACCUAGGCGACGAUCCCUAGCUGGUCUGAGAGGAUGACCAGCCACACUGGAACUGAGACACGGUCCAGACUCCUACGGGAGGCAGCAGUGGGGAAUAUUGCACAAUGGGCGCAAGCCUGAUGCAGCCAUGCCGCGUGUAUGAAGAAGGCCUUCGGGUUGUAAAGUACUUUCAGCGAGGAGGAAGGCAUUAAGGUUAAUAACCUUGGUGAUUGACGUUACUCGCAGAAGAAGCACCGGCUAACUCCGUGCCAGCAGCCGCGGUAAUACGGAGGGUGCAAGCGUUAAUCGGAAUUACUGGGCGUAAAGCGCACGCAGGCGGUCUGUCAAGUCGGAUGUGAAAUCCCCGGGCUCAACCUGGGAACUGCAUUCGAAACUGGCAGGCUAGAGUCUUGUAGAGGGGGGUAGAAUUCCAGGUGUAGCGGUGAAAUGCGUAGAGAUCUGGAGGAAUACCGGUGGCGAAGGCGGCCCCCUGGACAAAGACUGACGCUCAGGUGCGAAAGCGUGGGGAGCAAACAGGAUUAGAUACCCUGGUAGUCCACGCCGUAAACGAUGUCGACUUGGAGGUUGUGCCCUUGAGGCGUGGCUUCCGGAGCUAACGCGUUAAGUCGACCGCCUGGGGAGUACGGCCGCAAGGUUAAAACUCAAAUGAAUUGACGGGGGCCCGCACAAGCGGUGGAGCAUGUGGUUUAAUUCGAUGCAACGCGAAGAACCUUACCUACUCUUGACAUCCAGAGAACUUAGCAGAGAUGCUUUGGUGCCUUCGGGAACUCUGAGACAGGUGCUGCAUGGCUGUCGUCAGCUCGUGUUGUGAAAUGUUGGGUUAAGUCCCGCAACGAGCGCAACCCUUAUCCUUUGUUGCCAGCGAUUAGGUCGGGAACUCAAAGGAGACUGCCAGUGAUAAACUGGAGGAAGGUGGGGAUGACGUCAAGUCAUCAUGGCCCUUACGAGUAGGGCUACACACGUGCUACAAUGGCAUAUACAAAGAGAAGCGACCUCGCGAGAGCAAGCGGACCUCAUAAAGUAUGUCGUAGUCCGGAUUGGAGUCUGCAACUCGACUCCAUGAAGUCGGAAUCGCUAGUAAUCGUAGAUCAGAAUGCUACGGUGAAUACGUUCCCGGGCCUUGUACACACCGCCCGUCACACCAUGGGAGUGGGUUGCAAAAGAAGUAGGUAGCUUAACCUUCGGGAGGGCGCUUACCACUUUGUGAUUCAUGACUGGGGUGAAGUCGUAACAAGGUAACCGUAGGGGAACCUGCGGUUGGAUCACCU
rnacentral:rRNA from 1 species